AUACGGCCCAGACUCCUACGGGAGGCAGCAGUGGGGAAUAUUGCACAAUGGGCGAAAGCCUGAUGCAGCAACGCCGCGUGAACGAUGAAGGUCUUCGGAUCGUAAAGUUCUGUUGCAGGGGAAGAUAAUGACGGUACCCUGUGAGGAAGCCCCGGCUAACUACGUGCCAGCAGCCGCGGUAAUACGUAGGGGGCUAGCGUUAUCCGGAUUUACUGGGCGUAAAGGGUGCGUAGGUGGUCCUUCAAGUCGGUGGUUAAAGGCUACGGCUCAACCGUAGUAAGCCGCCGAAACUGGAGGACUUGAGUGCAGGAGAGGAAAGUGGAAUUCCCAGUGUAGCGGUGAAAUGCGUAGAUAUUGGGAGGAACACCAGUAGCGAAGGCGGCUUUCUGGACUGCAACUGACACUGAGGCACGAAAGCGUGGGUAGCAAACAGGAUUAGAUACCCUGGUAGUCCACGCUGUAAACGAUGAGUACUAGGUGUCGGGGGUUACCCCCCUCGGUGCCGCAGCUAACGCAUUAAGUACUCCGCCUGGGGAGUACGCACGCAAGUGUGAAACUCAAAGGAAUUGACGGGGACCCGCACAAGUAGCGGAGCAUGUGGUUUAAUUCGAAGCAACGCGAAGAACCUUACCUAAGCUUGACAUCCCUCGGACAGGUGUUUAAUCACACCCUUCCUUCGGGACUGAGGUGACAGGUGGUGCAUGGUUGUCGUCAGCUCGUGUCGUGAGAUGUUGGGUUAAGUCCCGCAACGAGCGCAACCCUUGUCUUUAGUUGCCAGCAUUCAGUUGGGCACUCUAGAGAGACUGCCAGGGAUAACCUGGAGGAAGGUGGGGAUGACGUCAAAUCAUCAUGCCCCUUAUGCUUAGGGCUACACACGUGCUACAAUGGGUGGUACAGAGGGUUGCCAAACCGUGAGGUGGAGCCAAUCCCUUAAAGCCAUUCUCAGUUCGGAUUGUAGGCUGAAACUCGCCUACAUGAAGCUGGAGUUACUAGUAAUCGCAGAUCAGAAUGCUGCGGUGAAUGCGUUCCCGGGUCUUGUACACACCGCCCGUCACACCACGGGAGUCGGAAACACCCGAAGCCGAUUAUCCAACCGCAAGGAGGAAGUCGUCGAAGGUGGCGUCGAUAACUGGGGUGAAGUCGUAACAAGGUAGCCGUAUCGGAAGGUGCGGCUG
rnacentral:rRNA from 1 species